rnacentral:rRNA from 1 species
AUGCGCUUUUCUAUCAAUUGCUCGACAGUAAUUUGUUCACCCACCGUAAUACUUAUGCUAUCUCGAGAGAAGCCUCUAGUGAAACCUAUGGCCCCCGGGUCUAUCUCUUAUCAUAUUUGCUUUCAAUCUACUUUUAUUUGCAUCUUUACUUUUUGCAUCUAUAUUAUAAAAUACCAAAAAUAUAUCUAUCUUAUCAUACUAUCUUUAUUAGAUCUCACUUUCGCAAGUGGCCGUGAAGGGAUUGACAACCCCUUUAUUGCGUUGGUUGCGAGUUCUCAGUUUGUUUGUGUAGGUGCGUGGGACUUUUGA